rnacentral:misc_RNA from 1 species
UCGAAGCCUAGAAAGCACGACCGCGAAUGAGUUUUCAAUCGGGGAAGCGCCGUGAUGCCUUUUGGCUUCGUGGCGCAACCUUGCCCGGUUGGCGAGUGGACUUGUGCUGCUCGUCUUCCGAAACUAACUAAACCCGGCGCGGACAGCGCCAAGGAAUCACAACGAAAAGCAACUUGACCCCUUAGCCCGUUGAUCGGGUUUGGGGGACUUGUCUGUUCAGAAAAAUGUCAUAACGACUCUCGGCAACGGAUAUCUCGGCUCUCGCAUCGAUGAAGAACGUAGCAAAAUGCGAUACUUGGUGUGAAUUGCAGAAUCCCGUGAAUCAUCGAGUCUUUGAACGCAAGUUGCGCCCGAAGCCUUUAGGUUGAGGGCACGUCUGCCUGGGCGUCAUGCAUUGCGAUGCCCCCAUCAAGUAUGCGGGGCGGAUCUUGGCCUCCCGUGAGUCCAACUCGCGGAUGGCUUAAAAAAGAGCCUCGGGACGGAAAGACGUCGCGACAAGUGGUGGUUAAGAGGCCUCUGGCCUUAGAACUAGCGUGUUCCGACCACUUUCCUCUUUUGCUCGAAAAGACCGUAGCGUGUGCCAGCAUC